rnacentral:piRNA from 1 species
UCAUGAUUGCAGCUUACCAGUGUUCAAAGU